rnacentral:rRNA from 1 species
UAAGCGGAGGAAAAGAAACUAACCAGGAUUCCCCUAGUAACGGCGAGUGAAGCGGGAAUAGCUCAAAUUUUAAAUCUGGCCGGCGUGGUCGGUCCGAGUUGUAAUUUGAAGAAGCGAUUAUCACGUUUUCGUUCGGGUUCAAGUUCCUUGGAAUAGGACAUCAGAGAGGGUGAGAAUCCCGUCUGUGAUCCGAUCGGUUUCGGUACGAUAACGUUUCUAAGAGUCGAGUUGUUUGGGAUUGCAGCUCAAAAUGGGUGGUAAAUUCCAUCUAAGGCUAAAUAUCAGCGAGAGACCGAUAGCGAACAAGUACUGUGAAGGAAAGAUGAAAAGAACUUUGAAAAGAGAGUCAAAUAGUACGUGAAAUUGUUGAAAGGGAAACGAUUAAAGUCAGUCAUGUUGGUGGGGAAUCAACUUGAUAGUAUGCGGGUUUACUCGUGUCCUUUCUAGUGCACUUCCUUACUUGCAGGUUAGCAUCAAUUUCGGUUAUCAUAUAAAAAGUUGAGGAAAGGUGGCUUUUCUUCGGAAAAGUGUUAUAGACCUUGAGAAAUGUGGUGACCGGGAUUGAGGAUUGCAGCGGAUACCCAUUUGGGCUAGUCACCUGGCUUCUGAUGGUUGCCCCGUCUUCGAUAGCUUGCUAACGUUGGUGGGACUCAAUUAUCUAGAUGUUGGAGUGAUCAUAAAUUCGCUAAGGAUGCUGACGUAAUGGCUUUAAACGACCCGUCUUGAAACACGGACCAAGGAGUCUAACAUGUGUGCGAGUGUU